rnacentral:rRNA from 1 species
GACGAACGCUGGCGGCGUGCUUAACACAUGCAAGUCGAACGCUUCUUUCCUCCCUAGUGCUUGCCCUCAAUUGGAAAGAGGAGAAGCGGACGGGUGAGUCACACGAGCGUCACCUACCCAUCACAGGUGGAGAACACUCGGAAACAGGUGCUAAUACCGCAUAACAGUUUAUGCCGCAUGGCAUAAGAGUGAUAGGCGCUUUAGGGCGCCGCUGAUCGACGGACCGGCGGUGAAUUGGCUAGUUGGUGAGGUAAGGUUUCACCAAGGCAGCGAUGCAUGGCCGACCUGGGAGGGUGAUGGGCCACACUGGAACUGAGAACCGGCCAAAACUCCAACGGGAGGCAGCAGUGGGGAAUCUGCGGCAAUGGAGGAAAGUAUGACCGGGAACGGCCGCGUGAGUGACGAAGGUUUUCGGAUCGUAAAACUCUGUUGUUAGGGAAGAAAAACGACGUUAGUAACUGAACGUCACCUGACGGUACCUAACCAGAAAGCCACGGCUAACUACGUG